rnacentral:rRNA from 1 species
GACAGAGGUGCCAAGCGUUAGGCGGAAUCACUGGGCUUAAAGCGUGUGUAGGCGGGUCGUUAAGUACCUUGUGAAAUCCCCCGGCUCAACCGAGGAACGGCUGGGUAUACUGGCGAUCUUGAGCCACCUAGGGGCAGUCGGAACAAGUGGUGGAGCGGUGAAAUGCGUAGAUAUCACUUGGAACGCCAAUGGUGAAAACAGACUGCUGGGGGUGUGCUGACGCUGAGACACGAAAGCCAGGGGAGCAAACGGG